CUGCUGCCUCCCGUAGGAGUUUGGGCCGUGUCUCAGUCCCAAUGUGGCCGUCCACCCUCUCAGGUCGGCUACCGAUCGUCGCCUUGGUGGGCUGUUACCCCUCCAACUAGCUAAUCGGACGCGGAUCCAUCUCUCACCGAUUUCUCUUUCCCUCUCCCGUCAUGCGAUAAAAGAGGCUCAUGCGGUAUUAGCAGCCGUUUCCAGCCUGUUAUCCCCCUGUGAAAGGCAGGUUAUCCACGCGUUACUCACCCGUCCGCCA
rnacentral:rRNA from 1 species